GGGGUUGGGGCUCAGCGGUAGAGCACUUUUCUGGCAUGUAUGAGGCCCUGAGUUAGAGCCUCAGCCCCA
rnacentral:tRNA from 1 species